GAACCACAGGCACCACGUUAGCCCAAAUACAGAACAAAGAAGGUUAAUUGAACUCAUUUCCUACUGGUUUCCCUUUCACCCUUUAUAUUUGAAGUUAGUGUCUUCAGUUUAACCAUGAAUAUCAAAACUGAAAAGAAUGCCGAUGGGGCAAUAAUUUAUUAUAAUUUUUUCGUUUACCUAACCUAACUACAUCCUGAUACUAUUAUGAAGGAAGUAGUAUUAGUUGGGUAUCCGCAAGGAAAUGCUUCUGGUUCUGAGGUUGUCUUAAAACUGCCAGGUAUUAGAGCUCAAAACUACAAUGUUAUGAAAUCCAAACUGGUUUAGGAAUGCUUGGACGAAAUGAAACAUUACGGAACUUUAAAGUACUACACCUAGAAGACGAUGUUUGGCAGCUAGAGUCAUCCCACAUCCCCCUAAACUCGACUAAUCUGUCAAACUCUCUAAUAAAAGAGAUUUGUAACGAAGAGAAUUUUGGGGGGAUAGUACACAACUAUUCCACGUCCCUUCCAAGUUUCCCGCAGUUGUUUAAUCCUGCGAUUGUCGAUAAGUACUUCUUCUUCUCCUAUAUCCUUAUAGUUUCACCGUUAUCCUCGCUGUUGAUUCCAACAGAAAGUGAUCACUACCAAUUUCAGCUCUGCUUUUGACUCUACCGUCAAUUAUGCCUAUUCUGUUUAUUUUCUCCACUGUAACGUAGUCAAUGGAUGGAUUUUUGGAAUUGAUGUUAGGGAAAGGAAGGGCAAGACAAGGCACUUAAAGUUUGAAGUUCAAUGAAACUAAAAAAAUCGCGUUUAUAUUUUUUAUUUUAAUAAUCAUCUUUGGUUAUCAGUAUUUCAAAAUUCAGUCUAAUUAGGAACACACUUGUAAAGUAGAAAAAGUCUUACCCCCUUGCUCGGCUUAGAUGGGGUACUCUUAAGUGCAAGAUGGGGUAGUCUAAAAGGUAAGAUGGGGUUUUGCAAAAGCAUUCAAUUAUUUUUGCUGACAAAAUUCACACGUUAACGUCACAUCUUCAUCUUCGAAAUCUAUCCCAGCACAGCUACGGGAGCCCCCAUUUGCCGAAUGCGGAACAUGCAGCCCUUCAUUUGACUCCAAAUAACAACUUUCACAAUACAAACACGGAGUAUUUUCAACUUCAUUAUCGCUACUCUCAUUUGACGAGUUAACCUUCGAUAGUGUUUUCUUUUUGGUCACUUUUCUUCGUUAACCGUUGAUUUUUUUCAAUUUUCUAAAGUUCUUCUUUCUUUAUCGUAUCUUCCUCUGAUAGUUUCUUUCUUUUAAUCGUCUCUUCUUUAUAUAGCGAUGAAGUAAUGAUUGCGGUUCUAACAACGUCGGAAGCUUUGCGUGUUACUGGAAAGAGCAUCAUUUGCAAGGAACUGGCUACAAGAAAUAUGUUAUCAGACCAACUGGAACAACCAGGUUUAGUUAUAAGUGACUUAUUAACAACAAAGUGGUCAGCUGAAGUCUUGAAAUCGGCUCUUCUUCCACCUCAGCAAGUGAUAUUGUUUCAGUGGAGAUCGCAAGAGGAACAUCUCUCGUAAACGAAGCAACAGUCACUUCUUGAUCUAUUAUAUAGUACCUCCUCUCGAAUAGUAUCAUAAGUCAAAAAAACAAACCAUCGAAUAAUCGAAAUUAAUCCUAGCUUUAUUUGGAAUAAUGGAAACUAUUUACAUGACUUAAUUAUAGCACCAAUAGUACAAUAAAAGAGUUUUCGAGUUA